UACGAAGGGGGCUAGCGUUGCUCGGAAUCACUGGGCGUAAAGGGCUCGUAGGCGGUUUGUCGCGUCGGGAGUGAAAACCUCGGGCUUAACUCGGGGCUUGCUUUCGAUACGGGCAGACUGGAGGUAUGCAGGGGAGAACGGAAUUCCUGGUGUAGCGGUGAAAUGCGCAGAUAUCAGGAGGAACACCGGUGGCGAAGGCGGUUCUCUGGGCAUGACCUGACGCUGAGGAGCGAAAGUGUGGGGAGCGAACAGG
rnacentral:rRNA from 1 species